AUGGAAAUGAUGAUCCUUUCCCCACAUGAUCGACUCUGAUUAUACUGUGCGAUCUACUGUAACCUCCUCUUCAUGAGGAGGGGACCAAGCCAGGAUUCUGAUCCAC
rfam:Ananas comosus cultivar MD2 ACMD2_Scaffold_6287, whole genome shotgun sequence.